GAUGAACGCUGGCGGCGUGCCUAAUACAUGCCAGUCGAGCGAACGGACGAGAAGCUUGCUUCUCUGAUGUUAGCGGCGGACGGGUGAGUAACACGUGGAUAACCUACCUAUAAGACUGGGAUAACUUCGGGAAACCGUAGCUAAUACCGGAUAAUAUUUUGAACCGCAUGGUUCAAAAGUGAAAGACGGUCUUGCUGUCACUUAUAGAUGGAUCCGCGCUGCAUUAGCUAGUUGGUAAGGUAACGGCUUACCAAGGCAACGAUGCAUAGCCGACCUGAGAGGGUGAUCGGCCACACUGGAACUGAGACACGGCCCAGACUCCUACGGGAGGCAGCAGUAGGGAAUCUUCCGCAAUGGGCGAAAGCCUGACGGAGCAACGCCGCGUGAGUGAUGAAGGUCUUCGGAUCGUAAAACUCUGCUAUUAGGGAAGAACAUAUGUGUAAGUAACUGUGCACAUCUUGACGGUACCUAAUCAGAAAGCCACGGCUAACUACGUG
rnacentral:rRNA from 1 species